GGGUUGCUAACUCAACGGUAGAGUACUCGGCUUUUAAGUGCGGCUAGGAUCUUUUACACAUUAGAUGAAGCGAGGGAUUCAUCCAUACCAUCGGUAAAGUUUGGAAGACCACGACUGAUCCUGAAAGGGAAUGAAUGGAAAAAAUAGCAUGUCGUAUCAAUUAAGAGUUCUGAGAAUAAUUUAUUCCGGCUCGGUACAAAACCUUCUUUAAAUUAGUGAAAGGGAGCAAACCGAAGUCAAUUUCAAGUUGGGUCGAAUUAAUAAAUGGAUAGGGCCCCGCGGCUUCAAUUAAUUUCAUUUUGAUUAUAGGGAAAGAAAAAGCAACGAGCUUCCGUUCUUAAUUUGAAUGAUUACCCGAUCUAAUUAGACGUUAAAAAAAUAUUAGUGCCCAAUACGGGAAGGCUUUCUCCCAGGAAGGAAUGUAUUCUUGAUUUUUUAAUGAAUCCUAAAUAUUACCAUUCUCCAUUCCAUAAUGGAGAUGUGUGUGUAUAAGAAACAGUAUAUUGAUAAAAAAUUUCCAAAAUCAAAAGAGCGAUUGGGUUGAAAAAAAAGUAAAGGAUUUCUAAUCAUCUUGUUAUCCUAUAAUGAAAACGAACAUAAAUAUUGAAAUUGAAAUGGAAAAAGAGAGGCUAGAGAAUCUGUUGAUAAGUUUAUCUGUAUCCGAGGUAUCUAUUCGGUUUGUACUAUAAUACCUUGUUUUGACUGUAUCGCACUAUGUAUCAUUUGAUAACCCCCAAAAUCCUCUACCUUUCAUUUAAAUAGAAUUUCAAAUGGAGAAAUUCCAAAGCUAUUUAGGGCUAGAUAGAUCUCAACAACACCACUUCUUAUAUCCACUUAUCUUUCAGGAGUAUAUUUAUGUACUUGCUCAUGAUCAUGGUUUAACUAGAUCGAUUUUGUUGGAAAAUGCAGGUUAUGACAAUAAAUCCAGCUUACUAAUUGUGAAACGUUUAAUCAAUCGAAUGUAUCAACAGAAUCAUUUGAUUCUUUCGGUUAAUAAUUCUAAACAGACUCCAUUUUUGGGGCACAACAAGAAUUUUUAUUCGCAAGUAAUGUCCGAGGUCUCUUCAAUCAUUAUGGAAAUUCCAUUGUCUCUGCGAUUAAUAUCUUACCUAGAAAGGAAAGGGGUAGUCAAAUCCGAUAAUUUACGAUCAAUUCAUUCAAUAUUUUCUUUUUUAGAGGACAACUUUUCACAUUUAAAUUAUGUAUUAGAUAUACUAAUACCUUACCCAGCCCAUCUGGAAAUCUUGGUUCAGGCUCUUCGCUAUUGGAUAAAAGAUGCUUCCUCUUUGCAUUUAUUAAGAUUCUUUCUCCAUGAGUGUCAUAAUUGGGAUAGUCUGAUUACUUCAAAUUCAAAGAAAGCCAGUUCUUCUUUUUCAAAAAGAAAUCACAGACUAUUCUUCUUCCUAUAUACUUCUCAUUUAUGUGAAUAUGAAUCCGGCUUCCUCUUUCUCCGUAACCAAUCUUCUCACUUACGAUCAACAUCUUCUGGAGCCCUUAUUGAACGAAUAUAUUUCUAUGGAAAAAUAGAUCAUCUUGCAGAAGUCUUUGCCAGGGCUUUUCAAGCGAAUUUAUGGUUGUUCAAAGAUCCUUUCAUGCAUUAUGUUAGGUAUCAAGGAAAAUCCAUUCUUGGUUCAAAAGGGACGUUUCUUUUGAUGAAUAAAUGGAAAUAUUACUUUGUCAAUUUCUGGAAAUCUUAUUUUUACCUGUGGUCUCAACCAGGAAGGAUUUAUAUAAACCAAUUAUCCAAUCAUUCCCUUGACUUUCUGGGUUAUCGUUCAAGUGUGCGGCUAAAGCCUUCAAUGGUACGCAGUCAAAUGCUAGAAAAUGCAUUUAUAAUUGAAAAUGCUAUUAAGAAGUUUGAGACUAUUGUUCCAAUUAUGCCUUUGAUUGGAUCAUUGGCUAAAUCUAAAUUUUGUAAUGCAUUGGGGCAUCCUAUUGGUAAGGCGAUUUGGGCCGAUUUCUCAGAUUCUGAUAUUAUUGACCGCUUUGGGCGUAUAUACAGAAAUCUUUCUCAUUAUCAUAGUGGAUCUUCAAAAAAAAAGAGUUUGUAUCGAGUAAAGUAUAUACUUCGACUUUCUUGUGCUAGAACUUUAGCUCGUAAGCAUAAAAGCACUGUACGUGCUUUUUUGAAAAGAUUCGGCUCGGAAUUAUUAGAAGAAUUCUUUACGGAAGAAGAACAAGUUUUUUCCCUGACCUUUCCAAGGGUUUCUUCCAUUUCGCGAAGGUUAUCUAGAAGGCGGAUUUGGUAUUUGGAUAUUAUUUGUAUCAAUGAUUUGGCCAAUCAUGAAUGAUUCGUUAUGAAACCUUGUAAAUAUAAAUUUCAUCACUAAAUAAUCUAAUAAAUAAUGUAAAUAAUGAAGAGCUAACAAAAAAUUAUUUCUUUCUAUUCUGAAAUGUUGAUGUAGUAUGUAGUAAGGAUGAAAUCAACUGAGUAUUCAAUCUUUUCUUGUCUAAUGAAGGAACUGAGUUUUAGAUGUAUACAGAGGGAAAGCCGUGUGCAAUGAAAAAUGCAAGCACGGCUUGGGGAGGGAUUUUUACUUAUUUAACUUUAACAAGGAAAUUAUCUACUCCAUCCGACUAGUUCCGGGUUCGAAUCCCGGGCAACCCA